GGANUGAUGGCGAGUGGCGAACGGGUGAGUAACGCGUAGGGAUCUACCCUAAAGUGGGGGACAACUCGGGGAAACUCGAGCUAAUACCGCAUAAUUUNUGAGGAAUAAAGCUGGGGACCGCAAGGCCUGGCGCUUUAGGAUGAACCUGCGUCCGAUNAGCUAGUUGGUGGGGUAAAGGCCUACCAAGGCGACGAUCGGUAGCUGUUCUGAGAGGAAGAUCAGCCACACUGGGACUGAGACACGGCCCAGACUCCUACGGGAGGCAGCAGUGGGGAAUAUUGGACAAUGGGGGAAACCCUGAUCCAGCAAUGCCGCGUGUGUGAAGAAGGCCUGAGGGUUGUAAAGCACUUUCAGUGGGGAGGAAAGGUAUUGAAUGAAUAGUUUGAUACUGUGACGUUACCCAAAGAAGAAGCACCGGCUAACUCUGUGCCAGCAGCCGCGGUAAUACAGAGGGUGCAAGCGUUAAUCGGAAUUACUGGGCGUAAAGCGCGCGUAGGUGGAUUAUUAAGUUGGAUGUGAAAGGCCCGGGCUUAACCUGGGAGUGUCAUCCAAGACUGGUAGUCUAGAGUAUGGUAGAGGGAAGUGGAAUUUCCGGUGUAGCGGUGAAAUGCGUAGAUAUCGGAAGGAACACCAGUGGCGAAGGCGGCUUCCUGGACUGAUACUGACACUGAGGCGCGAAAGCGUGGGUAGCAAACAGGAUUAGAUACCCUGGUAGUCCACGCUGUAAACGAUGAGAACUAGCUGUUGGUGAUAUAUAAAUCAUUAGUGGCGUAGCUAACGCGAUAAGUUCUCCGCCUGGGGAGUACGACCGCAAGGUUAAAACUCAAAGGAAUUGACGG
rnacentral:rRNA from 1 species